rnacentral:lncRNA from 1 species
GCUUUUCCUGUCGUCCUCGUGAGGCGGAAUGAUUCAGUAAAGAAAACCAAAGACGAAACAAAGCAGAGCCGAACAAAAAAAGGACGUGAAAAGCAGCGAGCUGUGCCGACACCGCAUCGCCACUCUCACCUCCGUGACAAGGCCCAGGUAAGCUAGCGAAGGAGCUCGAUCGAUCGACCGACGGAUCACGGCCAUGGCGAGAGUCGAGGCCGUGGUGGUCUGCCUCCUGAUCAUCGCCAUGGACGUCGUCGCCGGCGUCCUCGGCAUCCACGCGGAGAGAGCGCAGCACCAGGUACGUGUAAAAGCCGUGAGA